rnacentral:lncRNA from 1 species
AUUAUGAUAGAAAGAUGGAGUCCCAAGAAUUCCAGGUGCAAAAUCAUGGACCACAGGCUUAUAAUAUCUCUGUCCUUGAUUGUUGUUAAAUUUCCCUUUCCCUUUAUACUUUGACCGAUUUCCACCAUUGAAAAAAUUGGAUUGUCCAGGUUGACCAGUAAAUCCAAAAUUACCACCAUUGUUGAUUGUCGGAGAAUGACUAUGAAGACCAUUUGUAAAAGAAUUCCCAACAGCAUAACUUUAUGAGCCUUGACUAUUGUUCUUGGCCAUCAUUGCAGACAUAAAGGGCAUCGAGGCAGUGUUCUCAACAGUGGCUUCCUCUGCAAGUAAUUGAGAACGAAACUCCUUGAGAGAUAUAACAUUUUCCCUUCCACGAAUAACACAUCUGAACGUGUUAUAUUCGGCAGGAAGACCAUUGAGAGCCAAGAUCACAAUAUCAUCAUCGACAAAGAUAACUCCUGCAGCUGCAAGAAAAUCUCGUGCUGCUUUAAUACGUUGAAGAUAAAUGGACACAGAAUCAGAACCCUUUUUUUAUGUUCUGAAGGUCAACUUUCAUCUGAAAGAUGGAUGUACGACUAAUAGUAGAGAAUUGUUCUUGAAGCCGAAUCCAAAGAUCCCUUGAGCUAGUACUACUGCCUAUGGCACAAGAAAUGGCUGAGGAUGACAAAGUUGCAGUAAGAAGUUGCAUAAGAGCCCUAUCAUGCAUCUUCCAAAUUUUAUACUCAUCAGUUUCAGUUUGUGGAGUUGAAGAUGUAGAGGUUAGGUCCGAAUUAGGAGACCCAGAUGAAGAAAACUGAGGAGGACACACAUUGGUGCCAUCGACAAACCCCAUGAUUCCAUAUCCUUCAAGCAUUAAUUGCAACUGAAACUGCCAUUGAAGAUAAUUGAAAUCAUCCAACUUCACAG